UUGGAUUAGUCCCCUUGGGCUGAGCUGAAGACAAGAGGCUUGAAGAAGCUGGAGAUAGGAAGCAACUUGUAAAGGCAACAUGCUGGAUGCUUUGUGAGAGGCUACAUGGAUACCAAGAUCAACCGCUGGUUUUGAGGAAAAUGCUCGUGAAAAUUAUUUAUCACCAAAUAUGACUAGCACCGUAAAACAACCCCAAAAUGUGUUGAUCUGAGUCGCCAAAGUCAGUUCAUUACUAAUUUUGAGAUGUGUCCAUAUCACGCAACGAAGCCUGAUCAAAAAUCCACAGCAGGCAAUAGGUGUUCCAUUGACAUGCCAAAGCCAUAGGACUCUAAGAGCCUGCUCAAGGUCUCCCUGUUCCUGCAGACCAUCCAUACACUUUAAAGAAGUCUCAAGUUCAAUCUCUGAAGUGGCCAUUAACCCUAAAGAGCUACUGGGGGGAUUUCUGCUUUGUUUUUGCAUUUCCCUAGCCUCAAAGUGGACCUCUGACUUCAAUACUUUGCUGGACUAGUGACUGCUUAAAUGAGUGCAAAG